rnacentral:rRNA from 1 species
UACGUAGGGUGCAAGCGUUAAUCGGAAUUACUGGGCGUAAAGCGUGCGCAGGCGGUUUUGUAAGUCUGACGUGAAAUCCCCGGGCUUAACCUGGGAAUUGCGUUGGAGACUGCAAGGCUGGAGUCUGGCAGAGGGGGGUAGAAUUCCACGUGUAGCAGUGAAAUGCGUAGAGAUAUGGAGGAACACCGAUGGCGAAGGCAGCCCCCUGGGUCAAGACUGACGCUCAUGCACGAAAGCGUGGGGGAGCAAACAGG